AGCGCCUGGGGGUAAGAUGGCUGCCGCCGAGGCCGCGCCGUGCGUUGUGGAGGCAGGUGGGGGCUCCGUUGAGGCGAGGCAGGGGGGGUCUCUGGUGGCUCUGCUCUCCCAGCCUGUGAACGGCACCCGCCACCUGAGGGCCUUGCUGGGCCUGGCGCUGCCCAGAACCCCUUCCCCCCGGACCCCGGUCUCGGUGGGUUGGUGAGAGCUGUUCUUGUGACUCGGGGCCGCAUUGCAAACUCCCGCGGCCCCGGCGCCUUAGAGGAAGGAGUUCACAGGCUCGCGGGGGAGUUCUGGAAGGAUCCUUCCUGCAGGGGCUGAUUCCUAACGUAAGGAAAAGAACUCAAGAAUUUGAAGUCCUAUGCGUUCUGGGGAUGGUUGGUGUGUAAUGAAGUUCAGCAGGAUGUCCCUCUAGGUCAACAGGGCUAUGAUCUUGGUGAUGGAAGAGGAACGUUCUGAGGACAACAGGUCCAGGAUGGUGCUGUGACUAUGGGCUGACAUGGAGAUUGAAGCUAACGUGUUUUCCUGAGGACAAGCACCAGGCUGCCUUCCCUAUGAGUCACCUAACUCAGUGGGGUCAGUGCUCUGUACUCAUCUGGUACUCAGUUGGAGUGAAUAAUUGAUAAACAACGUUGUCUACUCUUCCUCUAGAGGUCAGAAGUCCAAAGUGGGUUCUCGCUGUGUGAGCAAGGCUCCAUUCCUCGUGGAGGCUCUAAGGGAGAGUCUGUUUCUUUGUGUUUUCCAACUCCUAGAGAUUGACCUCAUUCCUUGGCUUCCGAUCCCUUCUAUCUUCAAGCCAGCCAUGGCCAGGAUGGCUCUGAACUCUUUGGGCGGACAGUUCGUGUCCGUUUAGCCAACCCAGUGAGAACUGAGGGAGGCUCAUCCAGACCAGUGUGGUCAGAUGAUUACUGGUGAAGAUUUCUGGGAAGACUCUUUGAAAAGAAUAAAGAGGAGGAAGGAAUGGAGCCUCCCAAAGUGGAAACCCAGGGGGUGACAAAACUGAGCACCGGGCGAUCAAGUAACCUGUCCAACAUCAUGCGGCUCAGAAGGGUGGAGCCAAGAUUGGAACGAAGGCUGUGUGCCUGCCACUGGGGUCCGUGUGCCUCUCGCAUUGGUGGCCGACCUCCCUUCUCCCCUCCCCCACCUUUGCCGCUGGAUCGCCAGCUCCUCAGGGACCUUACUUAACAUCUCCAGCACUUGGCCUGAAAGCUCAGCGUGCACACAUUGACCAAUUAAUCCACACCACAGAGCAUAUAAGCAUGAGGAACAGCAAAGGGAGAGGGAGAAGCAGACUGCCUAUUGAGCAGGGAGCCUGACACGGGGCUCUAUCCCAGGACGUGGGAUCAUGACCUGAGCCGAAGGCAGACGCUUAACCGACUAAGCCACCAGAUGUCUCUGAACUGGGGUCUGCAGGUGUGGAGAGCUGCACACUGCAGGCCAGGGUGUGGUUGUGUGACCGUAGUCCAGGGUGCAGCGUGCUGGUGCAUCUCAGGGCGAGUGUGAUGAGGUCCUGAGCCUGUGGAAUGGGGCUCAAGGUAGCCGGUGCUGGGGGUUCCUGUCACUGGGGGUCGGGCCGGGGACCAGGGCCCUGGCCUCUGCCUUCCGCCUGCCCUUCCACGGCCCAGGGCCUUCCCCAUCAGCACCUGCCACAGCCCGCUUGCUGCAUUUGGGUCCUUGGUGUGUGUUCAGAGAACUCGGUCUCCUGGGCCGCCUGGCAGACUCCGUUAGUAGAGCCUGCAACUCUCGAUCUCGGCGUUGGGAGUUCAAGCCCCAUGUUGGGUGUAGAGGUCACUUAAAUAAAAAUAAAACUUAAAAAAAAAAAGCUCGCUCUCCUACCUGGGGAGUCAGAGUGCUCUCCAAACUAAUGAUUUCUGCGCCCAGGGAGAGCCCGCUGCCAAAAAGGCCCAGUCAAAUCCUCAGGUGUACAUGGACAUCAAGAUCAGGAACAAGGGGAUCCCUGGGUGGCACAGUGGUUUAGCGCCUGCCUUUGGCCCAGCGCGAGAUCCUGGAGACCCGGGAUCGAAUCCCACGUCGGGCUCCCGGUGCAUGGAGCCUGCUUCUCCCUCUGGCUAUGUCUCUGCCUCUCUCUCUCUCUCUCUGUGACUAUCAUAAAUAAAUAAAAAAUUAAAAAAAAAAAAAAAAAAAGAUCAGGAACAAGCCGGCCAGCCGCAUCCAGAUGCUGCUGCGUUUAGACGUUGUUCCCGUGACAGCAGGUGAGCAGGACUCUGGCCCGAGGCUGGUGGUGGAGCCGGCUGGGGAGGAAGCUGCCUGGAAUCUUGAGACUUCAACACCUUUUAUCUGAGCCCUUCUGAGGCAUCUGGGACCCCAGCCUCUUGUCACAUGAGCCUGCGCAGGCAUUCUUGAAGGCUUAGGACCAUUAGAAAGAUAGUUACAAGUUAUAAAUUGUAUUUUUUUUUUUGUAGUUUGUUUUGAUAUUUUGCAGACACACAGAUGCUUGGAAUAUUCUGUAGGGAUAGUACGAGGAUCUCUUACAUAUGCUUUAUCCACUCACUACGUUACUUUUUUGCCCUCUAUACACUUUUCCAUUUUUUUUUUCUUUUUUUUUCACUUUUCCAUUUAAUUUACAUACUCGGAUAUAUUUCUUCCUCCCCCCCCAUCCCACUCCCACCCCGGCUGUGCCAAUUGAGAGGAAGUUGAAGACAUCGUGCCUCUUGACCCCUAAAUAGUUAAGCAUGUAUUUGCUAAGAACAAGAGUGCUUCCUUACGUGAUCACAGCACGCCCGCUGAAGUCUGCACGCUAUUUCCUGAUCUUUGGGCCGAGUUCAAGUUUCAGCACUUCCCUAGCAUCGCCCUUUCUGGGGACUGUCAUGGUCCUUCCCUGGUGAGGACUCCCGCUGCAUGGGCACGGUCGAGUCUGUAGCCUCCCUCUGUUUGGAACAGAGUCUCGGUGUCUUUCUUGAUCUUGGGGAUUUGAAGAGAACAGGCCUGCUCUGCAGGGGGUUUCUUAGUCUCUGCCUGGUGCUUCCCCACGUGAACGUUCUGGUAGGAACACCUCGUGUGAGGAAGCGCACGACGACGACACUUCUAGCAUUCGUGAGGUCAACUUAGGUCACUUGCUUGAGGAGAGGGCUGCCAGCUUUCUCCACUGGAAGGUGACUAUUUUUAGAGCUCUAAAUUAAAAGCUAACAUUUAUUUUCUCCUCACUACCUCCAGCUCAUGCCUUGCCUUCGAGGUGACUACCAUUCACAGGCCUGUUCUCCAUGGCCAACUCCGGCCCCAACACCAACAGCUCCCAGUUCUUCCUGACGUGUGACAAGACGGAUUGGCUAAAUGGCAAGCACGUGGUGUUCGGGGGAGGUCAUGGAAGGCCUGGAUGUCCUGCGGCAGAUCGAGGCAGCAAGGACGGGAAGCCGAAGCAGAAGGUGAUCAUCGCCGACUGUGGGGAGUAUGUGUGAGUCUGCACGCCCCGUGUCUGCACCGCCCUGCGUCCCGGAUUGGUCACCCCGUCUCAGGGCAUCGGUCCCCUCUGGGCAAGCAGGGCUUUGUGUCCCGGCUCCUGGGGUCUGCUUGGAGCAGCUCUUGUGCCGAGGCGGCCCGGGCUUCCUCUGGCUCUCUCCCCGGGGCAGCCUCUGCUGCUGCGGCUGCUCCUGGGCCCACCCGUGUGGCUCCCGGAUGUCGCUUCUGCUAAAAUAAAUCCUAGUUCUUGUCCUGCUGCCUGUCAGCCAGGUCCAGGUGUUUACAAAGGUUGCGGCUGUGCCUGGACCUCCUCCUGCGACAGAGCAGAGCACCGCGCUGCUGUGUGCCUCCCGGCCGGGCCAAGACCCUGAGUGUGCACCCUUGUCAGGCGGCCGCAGGGCUGCAGAGGCCGAGCUGGUGCAGGUUGAGUAAAUCAGAUCACCAAGCAGCGCGCAGAGCACGAUCCUACCCUGUAAACUACCCGUAAUGUCUACCUGGAGACAGACGUGUGCGUGAGGAGACCAGAAGGAGGGCCAAACGGACUCGCAGCUCUGGGUGAGAAGAGACCGUCCGCAGAGCUCCAGCUCAGCAUUCCGGAGGCCUGGGGACGGUGUGGGGACACAGCAGCCCCGGCAGGGGCAUGCCCCGUGCCACCCGAGGUCCCUGGGCCGGGAGCGCACCAGGCCCACCUCAGCCGAGGCGGGACCAGUGUCGCUUCCAACACAGGGGCACCUGCUGGAUGUGCUCUGGGAGGAGUGGCCUCGAGUGCAAGGCCGCCGGGGAGGCCCAGAUGGGCACAUUCCCGUAAAGCAACACCCGUUGACCCCAGCGGCCUUGCCAGGACAGAGCCAACGCCCCGAGGAAAGCCCUCCAACCUGCAGGGACCUCCUACGUCACUGGAACCAGCCGCAGAGCCGAGAGUCCAGGCCGGGUCUGCUCCCCGACCCACAGCCCCUGGUCCUGUGGCAUUUCGGGUGUUUCUUGAAGCACGUUACCCACCGUCCUCCACAGCGACUCACGGACGGAAGGCCCGGUGGGCCGGCGGGGCCUCAGGUGAAGGGCGCAUGGGGCGAUGCCUGGUCAGCGCCCCUACGUGGCUGUUCCUCUGAGGCCAACCCCUGCGCCCCCGCCUUGACCGCAACCUGGGCGGCAGGAUGACGUUGUUGCUGCUGUCGUAGUAGAGCACGGAGGUGGCGCUCAGCUUGGUGGGGGCACAGCACGCCUUGGGGACCGCAUCCGGCUUCAUCAGGUGCACCUGGCCAGACGGGGCGGCAGGCAGAGGCAUGAACACGGGGCUUCCCCGAGCGCCCACCCCCUGCGCCCUCCCCACCUGCAGCCGAGGCGGGUGCUGAUGUGGAGACGUGCCCCACCCUGUCCCCGUUGCCCCUUCCCCGCCCCACUGCCCUCAGGGCACCCCCUGGGCCCCGGCCGGCUCCCCUCAGACGGGACAGCCCAGCACACGGUGCCCCUCCAGGUGCCCUCCAUGCCCCUCUCUGUGCCUCUGUGAUGUGCCCCCCCCUUAGCCGUUCGUGGUCUGUCUCCCUCCCACGUGCGAGCUGGUGAUGGUCACAGGCCUGGAGACGGCCCAGCAGCCUAGGCCCGCCCCUGGGGUGUGCAACGCGCUUCUCCCGCAAAGCGCUUCCCACCCUGGAGCCCACCUCUAAGGCCACGACUGUCCUGGACAGACCAGGACUGAGGCCCGGGACCCGGGGGUGGCACAAGGCUCCGCGCGGGGCGGUGGGACCUGGGCCCAGCGCACUGACCUCUUGCCCCCCCCCGCCCCGGCCCUGCUGCCAGGAACGAGCCCAGGGCAGUGGCCUUUCAGCCUCCGAAAAAAUAACGCGCUGCACCGAGAGGACGGGCUGCAGCGCCAGCGGCCGGGCAGGGGCCACAUGCAGGGGGCCUGGGGGGGAGGCUGCACGGGUGAGGCGGCCUCCCCGCAGCCCCGGCCUCCAGCCCUGGCAGGGGCGCCGAGCGGG